AGCUAGGUUGUGGUUAUGAAGCUAAGAUGGAACUUUCAAAACAAUCGAGCCGGUUGCGAAUUUGCAAACUAGCUAGAUUACAGUAGCUAGCCGUUAGCGUAUAUAUCAGGGUCUCUCUCGCGCUCUCUUUCUAUCUCUUUCUGUCUAUAUAUAUAUCCAAGACAUAUAUGAGUCUGCUUUGAACUUGGGCUCUCUUUCUGUCUUCGAGUCUCACAAAAUCAAGCUAGCUCUUGAUCAGUAAAGGCGGCAGCACCAACCAUUACUUGCAAUUCUAUAAGAAAUAUCUUGUUCAUCCCCUUCGUCAUGAGAUCAUGAUCAAUUUAAAACUCAACUCAAGAAGGUUGUCGUUCGAACUUCGAAGGUUUUUUUCAUGCCAGUUGAUCUCCAGAAUUGGUUAAUGUGAUUCAUGAAGAUUACUCCGAGCUACUUUGAGCCUUGAAGAAUGCAAUAUAUAUGUCAUCAUGGAAGUGAAGUUGGGGAUCAUUUGUGUAUGUGGAUGCAUGGAUCACUUCUCUGGAAGCAGCAUGACAUGAAGCUAAAAAGUGGAUGAUCAAGUCAUG